GACGAACGCUGGCGGCGUGCUUAACACAUGCAAGUCGAACGGAAAGGCCCUGCUUUUGUGGGGUGCUCGAGUGGCGAACGGGUGAGUAACACGUGAGUAACCUGCCCUUGACUUUGGGAUAACUUCAGGAAACUGGGGCUAAUACCGGAUAGGAGCUCCUGCUGCAUGGUGGGGGUUGGAAAGUUUCGGCGGUUGGGGAUGGACUCGCGGCUUAUCAGCUUGUUGGUGGGGUAGUGGCUUACCAAGGCUUUGACGGGUAGCCGGCCUGGGAGGGUGACCGGCCACAUUGCGCCUGGGAUACGGCCCAGCCUCCUACGCUACGCAGAGGUGGGGAAUAUUGCACAGUGCGCGGGAGCCUGAUGCGACAAUGCCGCGUGCGGGAUGCCGUCCUUCGGGUUGUGAACCACUUUCGCCUUUGCCGAGGCGUUAGUGACGGUACCGGGUAAAGAAGCACCGGCUAACUACGUG
rnacentral:rRNA from 1 species